UAACGAAUCUUCCGCAAUGCACGCAAGUGUGACGGAGCGACGCCGCGUGGAGGACGAAGUUCUUCGGAAUGUAAACUCCUGUCAGGGGCAGCCAAGUUCUGAGGCGCCCCAGAGGAAGGCACGGCUAACUCUGUGCCAGCAGCCGCGGUAAGACAGAGGUGCCGAGCGUUAGGCGGAAUCACUGGGCUUAAAGCGUGUGUAGGCGGGCGUGCAAGUACCUUGUGAAAUCCCACGGCUCAACCGUGGAACGGCUGGGUAUACUGCUUGCCUUGAGCCAACUAGGGGCGAGCGGAACAAGUGGUGGAGCGGUGAAAUGCGUAGAUAUCACUUGGAACGCCAAAGGUGAAAACAGCUCGCUGGGGUUGUGCUGACGCUGAGACACGAAAGCCAGGGGAGCGAACGGGAUUAGAUACCCCUGUAGUCC
rnacentral:rRNA from 1 species